UCCUGUCCAAGGCGAAGAAGGGUGCUGCAGGCGAGUGACAUCGGGCAGAUAGUGGAAUCUUCAUUCAGCAAAACAAGAGGUCAUCAUCCGAUGUCUCCUUGACCACCUGGGAGAAGAUACAAGUGCCUUGAUGAAGGACUUUGAGAAUGCAGCAAAUGCACCUGUCGGUGUUCAAGAGGAGUUGGGACGAGAGGUGAAGCUUUACCUGCUGCGGAACCAAGAUGGGUCAUUCAAAGAACCUACUGAUGUAGGGACUGAGAAUAAAGGCAUCACUGUCCUCAGACUGAUGCUAGUUGUAGGGACUAACCUAUGCCUUGGAUCUGAAAACCCCAAGAAUCUCAAAAGUUACAGUCUUCCAAAAAGUGCUGCUUCAGUGACUGAAAAAUUUCCUGUGUACCUUGCUGACUACUGUCUGGCAAGAUGCUCUUAUAAUGUGGCUGGUGGAUUGUCUUAA